UCCCAGGACAAGAAGCUCAGUUCAACAGAAAUAUCUAACGAAAAAAAAAGAAAAUGUCGUACCGUACAAUUUCUUCAACUGAUUCAGAGAAUGAACAUUUCAGCGAAUUAAUUGAUAUGAGACCGUCUUUUUCAAAAACAAAACCUGGCACAAAACGUGCUGCAGAAAAAACAAGUGUGAAAAAACCUAUG